GGUGGCUCAGUGGUAGAGUACUUGCCUUAUAUGCAUGAGGCCUGGGUUCCUCAGCACCA
rnacentral:tRNA from 1 species